rnacentral:rRNA from 1 species
GUAGGGAAUAUUGCACAAUGGAGGAAACUCUGAUGCAGCGACGCCGCGUGAGUGAUGAAGGCCUUCGGGUCGUAAAACUCUGUGAUAAGGGAAGAUGAUGACGGUACCUUAUCAGAAAAGACCGGCUAACUUCGUGCCAGCAGCCGCGGUAAUACGAGGGGUCUAAGCGUUGUUCGGAAUCACUGGGCGUAAAGCGGGUGUAGGUGGCUAUGCAAGUUGGAUGUGAAAGCCCCGGGCUCAACCCGGGAAGUGCAUCCAAAACUACGUAGCUUGAGUGCGGGAGAGAAAGGCAGAAUUCCUGGUGUAGUGGUGAAAUACGUAGAUAUCAGGAGGAACUCCGGUGGCGAAGGCGGCCUUUUGGCCCAGCACUGACACUCAGACCCGAAAGCGUGGGUAACAAACAGGAUUAGAUACCCGUGUAGUCC